GGCAUUUCCUAUCUUCAUCAGGAGGUCUCUGGUUGCCAGGUUCCUUCCAGGAUGACAUUCCCAAAAGCCCUUGCUCUGUCCCAGGGACCUGGUGCCAGCACAUUCAAACAUCUAUCUCUCAGGUUUUAGGGGGAGGAGUUGGUUUUUGUUUUUUAACUACCUCUCAUUUCUUCAGUGAAGUCACAAAGUGUUAAGUAAGUUCCUGCUCUGUGCACUGCAUUGAAAGCCUGGAAACUAGCUAGGGAGAAGAACCACGUUACUGCACAGGUGGGAAGGUGGAGGACAGCACCGAGCUGAGUGGGGGGAGGCAGAGGCAGAGUGGCUCCAAAACUGCUCGGCAAAGACUUCUGGCCCUGGGGCAGCUGGCACCAAGUAGGAAAGGAAGGGACGGGCUGAGCCUGUGGAGAGAUGCCAGGGGGACUUAGGAAAGCACCCAGCCAGACCCAAGGGGUUUGACAGGAGGGAUUAGGAGGUGAGGCGGAGUCCCCUCAGCUGCAUGGACUCGAAUGAGAGAAACGUGUCUAGUCAAGGACUAGGAACGCUGUUGAGUGAAGACAAAGGAACAGGAAAACAGCAACCAAAGCAGCAAGGAGAAAAUGACCCCGCUGACCAGGAAGGGCUGCUUUUCACUCCUGAGGAACUCCACAGAACCCAAGAACCCCCCCAACCCCCAGCUCUUGUCUGGCACUGCCCUCCCAACCCUGUUCCUGUCCAGUCCCCCACCUCCCCUGCCCAGACAUCCAGAAUGCCGCCUGCCCCCUCCAAACCCCUCGGUUACUGGGAAACAUGAUGUCAGUACUCCAGCAACGUCAGUCAGCCACCAGCCUGGGAGGUGAGGGCCCCGAGAUCCUUUAUCUCCUCAGCCUUUCUCAUUUCCUGCGGCUCUAUUUGCACACUUCCCAGCUUCCUCCAGUGCCCAGCGCCCAGUACCCAGUCUGUGGGCUACUGACGCAGUCUCCCCAGCACCCGCACCCCAGGCAGCUGACUGAGGGCAAACAGGGCUCUGUGAGUCACACACAGCUCCCCCUUUCCCUGUCCCUUCUUGCCUGGGGGUUUCAUUAGCCCACUGCCCUGUCGUCCCCCCCAC
rnacentral:lncRNA from 1 species